rnacentral:rRNA from 1 species
GACGAACGCUGGCGGCGUGCCUAAUACAUGCAAGUCGAGCGAAUGGAUUAAGAGCUUGCUCUUAUGAAGUUAGCGGCGGACGGGUGAGUAACACGUGGGUAACCUGCCCAUAAGACUGGGAUAACUCCGGGAAACCGGGGCUAAUACCGGAUAACAUUUUGAACCGCAUGGUUCGAAAUUGAAAGGCGGCUUCGGCUGUCACUUAUGGAUGGACCCGCGUCGCAUUAGCUAGUUGGUGAGGUAACGGCUCACCAAGGCAACGAUGCGUAGCCGACCUGGGAGGGUGGUCGGCCACACUGGGACUGAGACACGGCCCAGACUCCUACGGGAGGCAGCAGUAGGGAAUCUUCCGCAAUGGACGAAAGUCUGACGGAGCAACGCCGCGUGAGUGAUGAAGGCUUUCGGGUCGUAAAACUCUGUUGUUAGGGAAGAACAAGUGCUAGUUGAAUAAGCUGGCACCUUGACGGUACCUAACCAGAAAGCCACGGCUAACUACGUGCCAGCCGCCGCGGUAA